rnacentral:rRNA from 1 species
GACGAACGCUGGCGGCGUGCUUAACACAUGCAAGUCGAACGGUAAGGCCCUUCGGGGUACACGAGUGGCGAACGGGUGAGUAACACGUGGGUGAUCUGCCCUGCACUUCGGGAUAAGCCUGGGAAACUGGGUCUAAUACCGGAUAGGACCACUGCCUGCAUGGGUGGUGGUGGAAAGCUUUUGCGGUGUGGGAUGGGCCCGCGGCCUAUCGGCUUGUUGGUGGGGUGAUGGCCUACCACGGCGACGACGGGUAGCCGGCCUGAGAGGGUGACCGGCCACACUGGGACUGAGAUACGGCCCAGACUCCUACGGGAGGCAGCAGUGGGGAAUAUUGCACAAUGGGCGCAAGCCUGAUGCAGCGACGCCGCGUGAGGGAUGACGGCCUUCGGGUUGUAACCUCUUUCAGCACCGACGAAGCGCAUGUGACGGUAGGUGCAGAAGAAGGACCGGCCAACUACGUGCCAGCCGCCGCAGUAA